AAGUAGUCGUAGGAGCAGCUGGACUCUGCCGAGAGGACCAGAUCUGCGCGGGUCAUCAGCAAACCCACAUCAAGGAGCUGAAGCACUUCAAAUCAUCUGUGUUAACUUUUAUGAAACAUCAACAUCCGCCUGUAAACGGUCACGUUGCGACAUAUGAAGAGGUAAUGUUGCUGUUUGAAACACGUUCGCCGGGCGGGGCUGAUUCCUCCUUCCUAACUACCAACCAUCUCCUCAUGUCUUUAUCCUGUCUUCCUUCUCUCACCCCAACCAAUCACAGCAGAUGGCCCCGCCCCUCCCUGAGCCUGGUUCUGCCGGAGGUUUCUUCCUGUUAAAAGGGAGUUUUUCCUUCCCACUGUCACCAAAGUGCUGCUCAUAGGGGG
ensembl:lncRNA